ACUGAAAGUCAGUAAUGUUUUAUUUAAAGAUCCCCGGUAUCACAAUUCCCUUUGCGGUCCAUAUUAGUUGAAUUGUUAAACCGCGCUGAUCGGUUGGUAUUUUGUGAUUGGUAUAUUCCUCGUUCUGUGGCAGACAGACCCGUUCAGACACUGAGGGAGAGCAGAGAGGAGGUGAGAGAGUCUGCAUGGAGCUCUACAAUGUGUUUAUAAACUACAGAGCGCUGUUAUAUUGUAUUAUUUUGAAAGGUCCGGGUUGUAGUGUGGUAGGAGCGCGUUGUUUUAUCCGUUCAGACACUGAGGGAGAGCAGAGAGGAGGUGAGAGAGUCUGCAUGGAGCUCUACAAUGUGUUUAUAAACUACAGAGCGCUGUUAUAUUGUAUUAUUUUGAAAGGUCCGGGUUGUAGUGUGGUAGGAGCGCGUUGUUUUAUCCGUUCAGACACUGAGGGAGAGCAGAGAGGAGGUGAGAGAGUCUGCAUGGAGCUCUACAAUGUGUUUAUAAACUACAGAGCGCUGUUAUAUUGUAUUAUUUUGAAAGGUCCGGGUUGUAGUGUGGUAGGAGCGCGUUGUUUUAUCCGUUCAGACACUGAGGGAGAGCAGAGAGGAGGUGAGAGAGUCUGCAUGGAGCUCUACAAUGUGUUUAUAAACUACAGAGCGCUGUUAUAUUGUAUUAUUUUGAAAGGUCCGGGUUGUAGUGUGGUAGGAGCGCGUUGUUUUAUCCGUUCAGACACUGAGGGAGAGCAGAGAGGAGGUGAGAGAGUCUGCAUGGAGCUCUACAAUGUGUUUAUAAACUACAGAGCGCUGUUAUAUUGUAUUAUUUUGAAAGGUCCGGGUUGUAGUGUGGUAGGAGCGCGUUGUUUUAUCCGUUCAGACACUGAGGGAGAGCAGAGAGGAGGUGAGAGAGUCUGCAUGGAGCUCUACAAUGUGUUUAUAAACUACAGAGCGCUGUUAUAUUGUAUUAUUUUGAAAGGUCCGGGUUGUAGUGUGGUAGGAGCGCGUUGUUUUAUCCGUUCAGACACUGAGGGAGAGCAGAGAGGAGGUGAGAGAGUCUGCAUGGAGCUCUACAAUGUGUUUAUAAACUACAGAGCGCUGUUAUAUUGUAUUAUUUUGAAAGGUCCGGGUUGUAGUGUGGUAGGAGCGCGUUGUUUUAUCCGUUCAGACACUGAGGGAGAGCAGAGAGGAGGUGAGAGAGUCUGCAUGGAGCUCUACAAUGUGUUUAUAAACUACAGAGCGCUGUUAUAUUGUAUUAUUUUGAAAGGUCCGGGUUGUAGUGUGGUAGGAGCGCGUUGUUUUAUCCGUUCAGACACUGAGGGAGAGCAGAGAGGAGGUAAGAGAGUCUGCAUGGAGCUCUACAAUGUGUUUAUAAACUACAGAGCGCUGUUAUAUUGUAUUAUUUUGAAAGGUCCGGGUUGUAGUGUGGUAGGAGCGCGUUGUUUUAUCCGUUCAGACACUGAGGGAGAGCAGAGAGGAGGUGAGAGAGUCUGCAUGGAGCUCUACAAUGUGUUUAUAAACUACAGAGCGCUGUUAUAUUGUAUUAUUUUGAAAGGUCCGGGUUGUAGUGUGGUAGGAGCGCGUUGUUUUACCCGUUCAGACACUGAGGGAGAGCAGAGAGGAGGUGAGAGAGUCUGCAUGGAGCUCUACAAUGUGUUUAUAAACUACAGAGCGCUGUUAUAUUGUAUUAUUUUGAAAGGUCCGGGUUGUAGUGUGGUAGGAGCGCGUUGUUUUACCCGUUCAGACACUGAGGGAGAGCAGAGAGGAGGUGAGAGAGUCUGCAUGGAGCUCUACAAUGUGUUUAUAAACUACAGAGCGCUGUUAUAUUGUAUUAUUUUGAAAGGUCUGGGUUGUAGUGUGGUAGGAGCGCGUUGUUUUAUCCGUUCAGACACUGAGGGAGAGCAGAGAGGAGAUUUGGGGUGGCUGCAAACAGCUCUCACCUGAAGAGAAGAAAGGACACAUUCACUGCAGCUCCCCCAGCAGAGAAAGGCAGCGACUCCCUCUCGAAGAGAACAAAGAGAGGCUAACAGCAUGCAGCUGACACCCAGGGAGGGGGCGUGUUCUUGUGCGUGGAACUGCAAGAGAGGGGUUUAAAUAUGCAGUGCAGUCUAGUCUACACAGAUUACCUGUUGUUAUCUGUUUGAGCUGCCUAUUUGCUCUGGAGAGAAGAAUCGAGACGGUCAGAGUGAGCGACUGGAGCACUAGAGCCGUGCUGCAGAUCCUAUUGACAAUACCUGAAGACUGCCUUAUCUUGGUGGAAGCCAAGGAGGAAAGAUGGAGUCUGUUUACAUUAAACAGGAGGAGGAGGGUCUGGAAUUGUUUCCUCUCCACAUUAAAGAAGAGACUGAACUGGAGUCUGUCCACAUUAAAGAAGAGACUGAACUGGAGUCUGUCCACAUUAAAGAAGAGACUGAACUGGAGUCUGUCCACAUUAAAGAAGAGACUGAACUGGAGUCUGUCCACAUUAAAGAAGAGAGUGAACUGCAGCUUGUCCACAUUAAAGAGGAAGAGCCUGAACUGCAGCCUGUCCACAUUAAACAAGAGACUGAACUGGAGCCUGUCUACAUUAAGGAAGAAGAGACUGAACUGCAGUCUUUCCACAUUAAAGAAGAGACUGAACUGGAGCCUGUCCAUGUUAAGGAAGAAGAGACUGAACUGGAGCCUGUCCAUGUUAAGGAAGAAGAGACUGAACUGCAGCUUGUCCACAUUAAAGAAGAGACUGAACUGGAGCCUGUCCAUGUUAAAGAAGAGACUGAACAGGAGCCUGUCCAUGUUAAAGAAGAGGAGACUGAGCUGGAGCCUGUCCACAUUAAACAGGGAGAGACUAAACUGGAGCCUUUCUACAUUGAAGAGUCUACUGACUUGUCGUUUAAGGAUUUAGAAAACAUAUCCCAGAAAAAGAUAUCACAUCAAUGUAGUGAAUGUGGGAAGAACUUGAGCCAUUUAGGAAACCUAAAAAGGCACCAGAGAAUUCACACUGGAGAGAAGCCGCAUCACUGCACUGACUGUGGGAAGAGCUUCAGUCAGUCAGGACACCUAAAAUCACACCAGCGAACUCACACUGGAGACAAGCCGCAUCACUGUGCUGACUGUGGGAAGAGCUUCAAUGAGUUAGGAGACCUAAAAACACACCAGCAAAUUCACGCUGGAGAGAAGCCACAUCAGUGCAUUGACUGUGGGAAGAGAUUUGGUCUGUUACGAGGCCUAAAAAGACACCAGCGAAUUCACACUGGAAAGAAGCCAUAUCACUGCACUGACUGUGGGGAGAGCUUCAGUCGGUUAGAAAGCCUAAAAAAACACCAACGAAUGCACACUGGAGAGAAGCCGCAUCACUGCUCUGACUGUGGGAAGAGCUUUAGUCAGUUAGGAAGCCUAAAAACACACGAGAGAAUUCACACUGGAGAGAAGCCAUAUCACUGCUCUUUGUGUGGGAAGAGCUUCAGUCGGUUAGGAAGCCUAAAACAACACCAGCGAAUUCACCCUGGAGAGAAGCCGUAUCACUGCUCUAAAUGUGGGAAGAGUUUCAGUCUGUCAGGAUACCUAAAAAGACACCAGCGAAUUCACAGUGGAAAGAAGCUGCAUCACUGUACAAAAUGUGGCAAUACAUUUGCUUUCUGUGGUCGAGUGAAAAGACAUAAAUGCCAGUUUUGAAAAUGCAGAUGAAACUGAUAGGGGUAAUGAAUAGUACAUGAAUAACAUCAUGAAUAAGGGCCGGCAUAAUUACAUGAAAAGGCCUAAUAUAUAUAUAUAUUAGCUCAAAGUGCCAGCUGCCCAACAUUUCGAUAUGUUGUACAUAUCUUUCUCAAGGGAGCCUGUGUUUGAAUCAAAACAUUGGAGGUAUUUAUAGGAUUUUGACGGCAUGACGACUACUUGUUAUUGUUUACAUUCAUUCCAUGAUUUAUUCUUACAUGAUGUAAUGGUGUUCUAUAUAUUGUGACAUCAUUUUUACUUCUAUCUUUGAAUCUGUAUUAAUUCUAAUUAACACUACUUUAUAUAAACAUAUAUUUUUAUUAUAUCAUGCAAUGCUGGCUCUGAGGAUCAGUCUAGAUUUGGCCUCCCCAGCGCAUCAGCAUGCACAACUUUUGAAUGAAUUUUGAAUAUACGUACAUACAUACAUACAUACAUAUUAAAUGAGGAUUUUUUCCACUUAUCAACACACCAUACUCCACACUGUUAAGGGGAAAAAAGUUUUUUUAUUGAGAAAAAGAUGAUAUAUUACAAAUACAAAACUGGAAGAUCAUAAUUGGAUAAGUCUCCAACCCCCUGAGUUAAUACUUGGUUGAAGCACCUUUGGCAGCAAUUACAGCUGUGAGUCUGUUGGGAUAAGUCUCUAACAACUUUGCACACCUUCACAGUAGGGAUGAUGUUGUUUGGGUGAUGUGCUGUUUUGGGUUUGCGCUAAAAACAUAAUGCUUUGCAUUUAGGCCAAAAAUAUUUGCCACAUGGCUACAGAAUCUUCUGAGUUUUUUUUAGCAUACGGGAUUCAAGGUGGGCUUUCUUGAGUAAUGGCUUCCUUCUUGCCACCCUACCAUACAGGCCAGAUUUGUGGAGUGCUUGGGAUAUUGUUGUCACAUGCACACUUUGACCAGUCUUGGCCAUAAAAGCAUGUAGCUCUUGCAAAGUUGCCAUUGGCCUCUUGGUAGCCUCUCUGAUCAGUCUCCUUGCUCAGUCAUCUAGUUAGGAGGGACGGCCUGAUCUAGGCAGGGUCCUGGUGGUGCCAUAUACCUUCCACUUCUUAAUAAUCGUCUUGACCAUGCUCCAAGGGAUAUUCAAGGCCUUUGAUAACUUUGUCCCGGAGUUCUUUUGAAAGCGCCUUGAUGCUCAUGGUUGAGUCUUUGCUUUGAAAUGCACUACCCAGCAGAGAAAACCUACAGGAACUGCUGAAUUUACCCUGAAAUCAUGUGAAUCACUAUAAGGUUACACCUGAGCUAAUUUAGGAUUUCUAUUACUAGGGGGGUGGACACUUAUCCAACCAAGCUAUUUCAGUUUUUAUUUUUAAUUAAUUUUAUACAAAUUUCUAGAAUAUUUUUUUCACUUGGAAGUUGUGGGGUACGAUGUGUAGAUAAAUGAAAAAAAAAAAAUUUUUUUUAAUGCAUUUUAAUUCCAGGCUAUAAGGCAAAGGUGAACAUUUUGAA